GGGGGGAGGCCAGAUCCUGGGCUGUGUCCCCGGCGCCCAGUGCUCCCGGACCUGAGCUGUUGGAUUCGCACUCCCAGUGGCGCAGCCCCCU
rnacentral:pre_miRNA from 1 species